rnacentral:lncRNA from 1 species
AUGGUAGAUAAACACUUGAUUGAAAGUCUUACCUGUAAAAACAGGACUCUUGUCAACAGCUGCAAUGCUUUAAAGCAACUCAUUUUUGCUUUCCAAAACAAAACAAAACACCUUCCAACUUCAGGUGAGGCACUGAUUCUAGAUGAAGGUCCGAUUGAACAUUAUUUUGCGCCUCUUCAUGUUGAUUUCGAAUUUGGAGAUGCGAUCGAGGCCCUAAAGCUGAAGAACACCGAACUGGAAAUAAUGAAUGCCACAUUGUUUAAGAAAUUGCAGGAAAUUGAAAACUUGCAGAGGAAAGAUCAGCAGGAGUUGGUCUUGCCGGCACUAGAAGAAAUGCUGGCGUUGUCUUGUGCGAGCCACCCUCAGCCAAGUAUCAAUGUGGAGGACAUGAAUGUGGAUGAGUUGAAGGAAUGUUUGGUCUCAACAUGUCAGACCCUUGAGCAGAGCAUCACUGACAGCCAAAAUCAAAAGAAACAGCUUGAACAAUUUAACUGUAUAAACGAGGCUGUUAUAGAGAAAAUAAACAUUGAAAAUGAAGCCCUUCAGGAGAAAGUGAAGCAGCUGGAGAACGAAGUGCAGAACCAAUCCCCGAUCAGCGACAGGAUUGCUUACUUUUUAAUGACAAAGACUGACAUCGAGGCGGAGAGGAACAAAUAUCAGGAGGAACUCAAUGAGCUCCUUAAAGAGAGGAUGGAAGUCGAAGGUCUGGAUGAGAAUCUCAACGAACAGCUGAUAAGGAUGAAGGAUUUCAGCAACUACAUCAAUUUGAUCAGCGAACUUGAAAAGCAAGUCGACAACCUUCGGGAUUCGGUGCAAGCGAUCAAACACAAGAAGAAAAAGAAGCAGUUUUCACUGUUCAAAAAAAUUUGGAAAUUCUUCCUUUCAGAAUCAAAGAUUAUUAGAGUGAAUGUUGAUUUCCUCAUCAGAGAGAAACGGGAGGUAAGAAAAAAGAUUGAUAGCCUGGAAAACGAGCUGAAGGUAGUUGAGAAUAUUCUUAAUGUUUACUGCAACAUCCAAGACACAUACCAGAAAGAAAUGGAUGAUCUCCGAGAGCAAGUGAGGAACUGCGAGGAAAUCAUCGAGAAAACCCUUCCUUCACUUUGUCAAAGGUUCCUUAAUUUCUUCUCUCUGGGACAGAGCACCGAGGAGAAGGAGCUGAAGGAAAUGCCUAAAAAAAAGAAGAACUAUAAGUUACUGAAGGAGCAGCUGGAAGAUGUGCAGAAGUUGCUGUGUUCGCACCAAAUCAAUGCAGAAAAAAUCAAAACUAAGAUCAGCGGACUACGUGAGAAAGAACGGGCGCUCGAUUUCAACAUGAUAGAACUAAACAGCCUGACUCUGAAGAAGCAAAAGAUCAGAAAGGUAUAUGUCUGA